GCAAAUAUCAUCUUUACAUUCUCUCACUUCCCUGGGUCAGCCAUUAUAAAUUGUAAGGGAAAAGAAUAGUUUUAUUCUCAAAUUUGUCAACUUUUCCAGCAUUCAUUUAAGAUGAUAAAGAUUGGCAAUCCUUUAAAGAAUACCACUUUGGCUGUGUAUGUCAUAUGUUAAUUGUGUCCCUUUUUCCUUGUGGUCUUGCCCAUCCAGAGGCUAUUGCAGUAGCUGAAAGCCUGAAAUACUGUAUCAUCACUAGGCAGAUUGUUAGUUGCAUAAUGAAUCUUUAAGAAAUCAUGUAACACCAACCAAAAAAUUAGUCAAACGCAGAGGCCAUUUCUUGUUUAGGGACAUUAACAUAAUGAACUUGACCAAUUUGAUUGGCACUAAAUAAUGGCAAAGUCGGUGAAAGAAUCAGUUUUGAAUUAACUUCAUACUUGUCCAAAAUUUUCAACUGCUAACAUUCAUGCACCAUAUCAUCAUGUAUUUAUCAUAUAUUUUCAGGAACCAAAUGAAAUUCAUUAAAUGACCAUUUUACUUUUGGUAGUCUGCAGUACCAAGAGCAGGUAUUCUCAACAAGACAAACGCUCCUAUGUUCUUUUGGUAGUCCGCAAGUGCCAAGAGCGGGUAUUCUCAACAAGACACUCCCAUGUUCUUGAACCUCUACCAUCAUUUGAAUUAGAUUAUAAUAAUCAUUUUCCUAGUCAAAAAGAUUUGCAGAUCUUUGAUGGUGGCAGAUUUAACUUUUUCUUUUGUGUUGUUGGAUGGAGUCUUAAUAUUUUGGACUUUCGAUUAUUAAUGAUUUAUAUAAUAAUGAGUUAUACCUUGUUCUUGUUUUAUCCUUAAUUUUAUUGUGAAAAUGAUGAUUUGUUUGUAGGUGUGGAGGGAAUUACCUUUUUGUUUCACACACGGG
rnacentral:misc_RNA from 1 species